UACGGAGGAUCCGAGCGUUAUCCGGAUUUAUUGGGUUUAAAGGGUGCGUAGGCGGCCUAUUAAGUCAGGGGUGAAAGACGGUAGCUUAACUAUCGCAGCGCCUUUGAUACUGAUAGGCUUGAAUGUACUUGAGGUAGGCGGAAUGUGACAAGUAGCGGUGAAAUGCAUAGAUAUGUCACAGAACACCAAUUGCGAAGGCAGCUUACUAAAGUAUGAUUGACGCUGAGGCACGAAAGCGUGGGGAUCAAACAGG
rnacentral:rRNA from 1 species